UAUUUUUAAUCGAUAUAAAAUAAUAAAAAACCCUACCAAUCUUACCAGUGAAAGAAAGUAUUGCCUUGUAGCGGUACAGUAAACGGGGAUGGGUAAGGUAUGUUUAGCAAUUAAUACAUACGCUGAAAAGCAGUGCAGAGCUAAAGAAAUUUGUUUUUAUCGCUUAACUGAAAUGAAAGGAUCAACAUUAUAAAAAUAUUUCUGAAGUACCAUAUAGCGCCUAACUGCUUUGUCCCUACAACAGGCGAGAAGCAUCCACUAGAUGGCAGUGUUCUAUAGUGUAUGAAGACAUGACCCACUCUUGUUUGAGCUGCGAUAUUUGUCAUGCAUUAAUGCGUCCUGAGUGCAAGAGUGACGCAAACUGACUAUUACGACCAGAUGUGGUACAAUGGACCCCAUUGUCUUCUGCUCUUCAAAACGGUUAUGUAAGAACAAGACAAGGAGUGAGAUCACCCUGGACCAGGCCAGUUCAAACCCGCCCGCAUGCAGCUCAUGGUUCGAUGCUCUGAUCCUGGGUUUAGUGGUGGAAGAAGACGGCUGCGGUGAGGAUGACAUGCAUGUAAGAAGAGCAGGGAAAUCCUCAGUUAAUUCACACCGUGGAUCUGACAAGAUGUCAGCCUCUAGAACAGCCUGUAGUGUUGAAGGACGCCUGGACAACUUACAAAAGCAAAUCUCCCCCCAAAAAUCCCAUAUAUCUUUGGUCUGAAAAGAAGUAUGUGUAUUGUUUGUGGUAGCAUCAUCAGACACACAGUUUAUUUUAUCUCCAUAUAUUUAAUAGUGCAGUUUGAUUAACCUGUACAGAAUAAUAUUACUAAAAAAGAUAAAACAUUUGUUUUCUUUUCUGUAACACAACCGCUUAACAUUUACAAUAAAAUAAAAUAAAAUGAUAU